AUUCUCAGCUCACGUACUACUGCCAAAGCUCCUGCCCUGUGCUGUGCCAGAUGCCGGCUGGCGUGAGCACCUGGGCUCCUGAGGGACCCCCUUGUCCUGAGAGCCAGAGGUACUCGCUUCCCUUUGCAUGAGGCCUGUAGGAGAUAGACCCUGCAAUUUAAAAAAUCUGUAUCAAACGUGGCAGACUCAAAGGGGGGCAUUUUAAAAAAGGCAGGUUUGUUUUCUUUUUUAACUUUACGAUCUACAGCCUAGCAAAGAGAUCCCUUUCAGUGUCAGUCGCUUGGCCUUCUCCCCUACUGACGAGGUCCCAGCCUCCCGGUGAGAUCUCGCUGGAGAUAUUCUCAGUUUCCCUCAGGUACGGGGCUGCCCUGGCCCGAGGCCAGCGAAGAAGCUGACUUUGCCCGUGCCUGAAUCAGCAACACGUCCAGCAGGCGACUUGCAGAGCCCAGGGAACCCUCGUAAAGAGGUCUGGGGGUGGGCCGCGCCACAUCUGCGGCAUCGGCCGCGGGAAAGGACCGGCGCAGUAAAGCAGGCUGGACGGAGCCCAUAGAGGAAGGCACUACGCGUCUUGCUGGGUCUGUUUGCCUGCCUUCUCGUAAGCCGUCGCGGAAACUUGCACGAGCAAAGCCUGUGCAAGCUGAUGACAGCCACGCACGGUUGAAGAGGGAGCAGACGGUGAGAGCAGAGGGAAAAGCCCGCGCGUCUGCCACUACAGGACACGCUCUGGGAGGCAGGAGAGAUGACGACGCUCCCUGACAGAGGACACAGCUGAGGGGCGGUCCGCCGGGGCCGGGGAGAUGGCAGCACCUUCCCUCAGCUGCCCCAUCC